rnacentral:rRNA from 1 species
CAGCAGCCACGGGAAUACGUAGGGUGCGAGCGUUAAUCGGAAUUACUGGGCGUAAAGCGUGCGCAGGCGGUUGUGUAAGACAGGUGUGAAAUCCCCGGGCUUAACCUGGGAACUGCGCUUGUGACUGCACAGCUAGAGUAUGGCAGAGGGGGGUGGAAUUCCACGUGUAGCAGUGAAAUGCGUAGAUAUCGUGAGGAAGACCAGUGGCGAAGGCGGAUCUCUGGACAGUUCCUGACGCUGAUGCACGAAGGCUAGGGGAGCAAACAGGAUUAGAUACCCCGGUAGUCCCUGUCUCUUAUAA